GCCUGAUUAGCAUAGUGGUUAUUGCGUUGCACUUGUAUCCCGCAGAUGCUCCAUUCCUUGUAUCCUCAAAGGAAAUAGGAGGUUCUCGAUAUGGAUCGAUAUGCAAAGGUCACUGGUUCGACUCCAGUAUCAGGCA
rnacentral:tRNA from 1 species